AGUAAGAAUGUAUAGUAUUCAAAUAUAAAAAACACUGACUUUUUAGGUCAUGUUUCUCAUUCAAGUCAGAUGAUUUCCUAUUAAUUCAAUUGAAUAUGGUGACUUCAAUUUACAUGACGUUGUGAGCAAUCAAGUCAUUUAUAUAGAUCAGUGAGUAGUGCCCAGCAUAAAAGUCCACUAAAGGAGAUUUCUCGCAUUUUACCCCUAAACUCUGGAAUACCUAUGAAGGUAAAAGAGUAACAAGACUCGAGCACAAACAAUAAAUACUUGUAUGCUAAAAUUUACACUCACAGCUCCAACGUGAAAACCUCAUCUAAUAUGCAAUAACGUUGAAAAGAUCACAGUUUCUGUCCUGACGAAAAUUUUCUAUCUUAUUUUUUGCUUUGCAGAACAAGUUUGUGACUGACUUAAUGAAGCCAGUUUGGAUCAUGCUCAGAGAUGUAAGGGUUACAAAAAGUUAACCAGAACUCUUAUGGACUCCAUCUUGUCUUCAAAGAGAUGGCAACAUGAACGGGAAAAAAGGGGUUGUUGGUGAAAAAAGAGUCUUGACCUACAAAAGGUGCAGCUAAUAAUUGACUAUGUCAAAAAGAGGCACCCAGGCAUCGGAGGCACUGAGAUCAAGGUCUGCAUGGCACAAAAGUUAAGAGAUCUGAGGAGACGAGCAGAAAGGAUGCCUGCUGAAGGAGACACAAAGGACUGAGACAAUACACUUUUACAAAAGCACACCACACACACACACGCACACAUGCGUGUAUACCUGCGUUUUUUGUGGCUUUUUAUGUAUUUAUGUAUAAUAUGUGUGCUAAACAAAAGUGUAUAUAGUUUCUCAUUGAUAAUUGUCUUGAGAUAU